CCGGCUCUCACCCGGUGGUAAAACUCUCGCUGGGGCCUCCAAAUGUAACCAAGCGAGUUACAGAGAAACGCCACACUUUGACAUUAAUUCAGGAGUCUUUUAUUAG
rnacentral:pre_miRNA from 12 species